GAUGAACGCUGGCGGCGUGCCUAAUACAUGCAAGUCGAGCGAAUGGAUUAAGAGCUUGCUCUUAUGAAGUUAGCGGCGGACGGGUGAGUAACACGUGGGUAACCUGCCCAUAAGACUGGGAUAACUCCGGGAAACCGGGGCUAAUACCGGAUAACAUUUUGAACCGCAUGGUUCGAAAUUGAAAGGCGGCUUCGGCUGUCACUUAUGGAUGGACCCGCGUCGCAUUAGCUAGUUGGCGAGGUAACGGCUCACCAAGGCAACGAUGCGUAGCCGACGUGAGAGGGUGAUCGGCCACACUGGGACUGAGACACGGCCCAGACUCCGACGGGAGGCAGCAGUAGGGAAUCGUCCGCAAUGGACGAAAGUCUGACGGAGCAACGCCGCGUGAGUGAUGAAGGCUUUCGGGUCGUAAAACUCUGUUGUUAGGGAAGAACAAGUGCUAGUUGAAUAAGCUGGCACCUUGACGGUACCUAACCAGAAAGCCACGGCUAACUACGUGCCAGCCGCCGCGGUAA
rnacentral:rRNA from 1 species